rnacentral:rRNA from 1 species
GUGACAGCCGCCGCGGUAACACGUAGGGGGCAAGCGCUGUCCGGAAUUAUUGGGCGUAAAGCGCGCGCAGGCGGUCAUUUAAGUUUGGUGUUUAAUCCCGGGGCUCAACCCCGGGUCGCACUGAAAACUGGGUGACUUGAGUACAGAAGAGGAGAGUGGAAUUCCACGUGUAGCGGUGAAAUGCGUAGAUAUGUGGAGGAACACCAGUGGCGAAGGCGACUCUCUGGGCUGUAACUGACGCUGAGGCGCGAAAGCGUGGGGAGCAAACAGGAUUAGAAACCCUUGUAGUCC